GAUGAACGCUGGCGGCGUGCCUAAUACAUGCAAGUCGAGCGAACGGACGAGAAGCUUGCUUUUCUGAUGUUAGCGGCGGACGGGUGAGUAACACGUGGAUAACCUACCUAUAAGACUGGGAUAACUUCGGGAAACCGGAGCUAAUACCGGAUAAUAUUUUGAACCGCAUGGUUCAAAAGUGAAAGACGGUCUUGCCGUCACUUAUAGAUGGAUCCGCGCUGCAUUAGCUAGUUGGUAAGGUAACGGCUUACCAAGGCAACGAUGCAUAGCCGACCUGAGAGGGUGAUCGGCCACACUGGAGCUGAGACACGGUCCAGACUCCUACGGGAGGCAGCAGUAGGGAAUCUUCCGCAAUGGGCGAAAGCCUGACGGAGCAACGCCGCGUGAGUGAUGAAGGUCUUCGGAUCGUAAAACUCUGUUAUUAGGGAAGAACAUAUGUGUAAGUAACUGUGCACAUCUUGACGGUACCUAAUCAGAAAGCCACGGCUAACUACGUG
rnacentral:rRNA from 1 species